UAAUAUUGAACAAUAAUUAUGUAUUGUCUAACAAUUCAUAUUGUGAAGUACAGAAAACAAAAUCAACAUUUUCACCUUUCUGAAAUUAUUACCGUGUUUCUUAUUGUGUCUAUUUGUACUUUUCUUUCUCCCUAUAUAUAUAUAUUACAAAAGUCCAAUUAAAUUAAAAGUAAAUAUUAUACAAACGUAAAUAAAAGUAAAUACAUAAAUAUUUCAAUUAAUUGGUAUUGAUAUAAUUUUGGAAACAUAGUUUUAUGAGAUACAAUGAAAGAUAUAUAUACCAUAGGUUUAAUCAUAUGUACCUCGACACUUAUUUAUUGGGGAGCAACCUCUUGUGUAAUUGUUUCGUUGAUUUUUGGCAUAAUUUUGAGGAAGAUUUUCUGGUUUCAACAUUUGUAAACCUUCAUAUCUAAUUCCAUCAACGAAUAUGUUUUGAUUGAACAUAGCCAUACAAAGAAGAAGUAAACAAAACAAAAAAUAUGGCUUCAUGAUAAGAUAGUUGGAGCAACAAAUUCUAUAGAUAUUUUUUUCUUUCUUCAGCCGAUACAAUUUAUGUAUCUC
rnacentral:lncRNA from 1 species